AUUUUGAAAAAGUUGGACAAAGUUUCUUUGAAAUGUCUCACAAGAUUGUUCUCCGACUGUGCUUCUCAGUGCUUUUCUUAAGAGCUGGAGACUGGUGAGGCCCCGCCUCCCCUGCCUCUAGUGACUGCACGUCCCUGGUUCUAGCGGGUCCCUUUCUCUCCUUUGGGGGAACGACAAGGAGGCGGUGCCUGGAGAGGAGGGGCUGGGAAAUGGAGCGCCUUCACUUUCGGAACCAGAGAGCUGACGGAAGGAGCGGUUUGCUUCGGAGGCGGAGAAACCGGAAGACGACGGAGGAGCCCGGCGGGGGAGGGAAGGAAGGAAGCG